AAGGAGAGAUCAAAAUGUGGGAGAUCUGUAGUCCUACUUCAGGCUGUUUGGUCAGGUCUUGCUCCAAAUGGUUUUGGGCAGGUACUGGGAAGGAAGAAAUUGCCUCAUUUUCUGUACUGAGACUUCAGGAUGCCAUAAGAAGUAACUGCAAGCAGAUGGUAUUUUUUCUUUUGGGAUGAUGUUGCAUCAGUCUAUUAGGUGACUAACAUGAAGUCAUCUGUAGUGUUCUGCUAGCAGAUCUUAAAAUAUUCUUACAACCAAAACUGACUGACUUUUCUUAAGAGUUUAGUGUCUUUUCUGGAAGUGCAGAUAUACUGGUCGUCUCCAGAUAAAUGCCAGUUUGUGUAAAUACAUUUUGCUGUUUUAAAGUCAGCCAGCACUUCUGGUUAGAUGUGAUAUUCAUUAUUGCCUGUUUAAAUUGUUUUGUAGCACUGCCACUAAGUAGCUGUCACAUUGCUUUUCCAGGCCUUUUCAUCAGAAAAUGAUAAUUCUGUCUUCUGAGAGUGUAAGCAUUAGGUACUGGAGGAAAAAAACAAAAACUGUAUAAUCUAUAUUGCUUUUGCUGGUGGUUAGUGAAUUGGCAAGAACUGCAUAAUUUUUUUGUGCUGUUUUGCAGUAAUAGCACGGUAAUGGUGGUAAGUAGAAUUUUGCAUGCUUAUCUGUAAAUGACUUCGAUUUCAGCUGCGCUCAUCAACUGUAGCUUCUGCUGGCAUUUAACAGCAGCAGAUUAUCUCAUUUUCCUUCUGAAAAUGAGAUAAUACUUUUCAUAAAUUAUGCUAAAUGAUGUCCACUAGAAAUUUUGUCCAUUUACUGACUCUCACCUGCAUGGUCUGCAGGAGUGCCUUUUGCUUGUGUAACUGUAGAAAGAUACUAAUAAUUUGUUUACGUUGCCACAAUGUCUACAUUAAAGUAUAUCUGAUCAUUAAGUGAAAUAAGGCUGUUCUCCAGAGCUGUGUUUUGACAGUCUGACUGCAGUUAGUCCCUCCACUGGAUUUCUUCCCUGAGACUUUUCUCUUCGGUGCUAACAGGGUGCUACUGGAGUACCUAAAGUGGGAGCAGAGCCCAGGCUCUUUCUCUUCCUGUUAAUGGCCCAUUUGUUGACCCAAGAUAUUCAGUCAUAUUUCUGCUCUGUCUGCAGAGAUACCAUCUAAUGUCUGCAGUGCCAGGUUACUAUGUCAGUAUAUAAGAGGCAAAAGGAAAAAGAACAACUGUGGAAAUGGAAGCAGCUGAAGGUGAAAAAAGCAUGUGGUUAUGUCCAAUUUGAGAGCAUUGCAUGUUCUCAGCAUACCACUUCUCUAAACUUUUAAAUGCUUUGUCAGGGACCCUGCUGAAGUUCCCCAUGGAAUUCCACAUUUGAGUUGCAGUUAUACUGAUUAAAAAUGUCUGCAAAACUAACUGAAGAAAAAAUUAUAAGUGAAUGGAAGGCUAACUGUACCAAGUUGACUGAAUGGUAUAGCAAAGGCACAGCCUACAGCCUUGCUAGGUAAUUCACCCCCCUUUUCCAGCAGAGGUCUCUGGUCUCCUGGAUGUACCUAACGUGCAUAGGAUGCAACUACUAUUGAAAUUAUCUUACUCCCAUUUAACAUAAUCGACUCAAAUGUAGGAUUUUGAAAAGAAAGGGACUGUUUUCUGCAUUCAUAGGUUGAAAUACCCUCAGACGAUUCUCAAUUUUUAACACAUGAUUCAAAACCUUUUUCUGGUAUUCUGAUUGAGAAGACAGAAUCCUAGUUCAUCUUCUUCCUGUGAAUUACUUCUUAAUUUUUUUUUUCGACAGCCACUUAUUUUUGAAAUACAAAUAAUCUGUUUUCACUUGCAUGAGUUCUAUGUGUGUGUUUGAUUAUUUUACCUUGUUGUUCCAGAGCCUUGCCUUACUUCUGCAUAGUUAGCCUGAUAGCUUUAAAACUAUCAUGAAAGUAGAAAAAUUUUAGUAGACACCCAAGAACAGUGUAUAAAAAACACCUCUUUCUCUCAUUUCUUAAUAUUUUUGUCAUUUCUUAGUAGAAAUUUGUCAGUGACAAUUUGAGAGAAUGAGGAAGAAUAAGGAAGAGAAUCAGAAGAAAGAUAAAAUAUGGGGGGGAGGGGGAAAGGGGAAGCUAUACUAAUAAAAAAUAUCUGGUUUUGAGGCAACAAAAUGGAGAACGGUCUUAAUUGAAGAGGUAAAGCUUGGGGGGUGGGGGGGCUUCCUAGGGAAAAUCAAUUCUCAUAUUGUGAGAAACAGGUGAAUGCAAAAAACAAAUAUUAAGGGAGAAUAGAUGGAGAGAACUGUGGUGAUCUUGAAGCCAAUUAUUCCCUGCUGCCGGUGUUGAGCACAGGGAUUUUGAGCCUUUUUGUGGAUAGAUAACUUCAUGAAUGAACCACAGAACCUUAUAAGUUUUUCUGCAACAUGUUCAGUGUUGUCUUAUCCUUUCUUUUCAAAUACAUAGCGUUCACUGUAUGGCGCACCAUGUACUUCUCAUAAGCACAUUCUUAAUAUUAUUGCACCAAGAUUGCAUUUAAACCCAUAUCUGUUAUUCAAAAAUGUGUGCUUUCCGUUGAGCAAUUCUGUCUUGGGCAACUUCUUUGUUCUUCAGCUGCAUGGUGUUUCUGUUGCUUCUCCUGGCACUGACAGCCCAGCCCAUGGCUGCAGCUGCCUCGAGGUCAUUGAACAAUUUAAAAGCACAAUUUUGCAUCAGGUACCUCAUCCAGAGUUUGUGCUUUUGGCAGGAACAAAUACAGCAAACUCAGCUUGACUUACAGAGAAGAUUCAGGCCUCAUAGGGCAAGCCUGGCACUUCUCUAUGCUUCUAAGUUACAGGUGCUCGCAGACAGCUUUGGCAGCUGAAGCCCUAGAAGAUGAAAUGAGGCAGCUCUGUGUUGGUGAUCACAAGUUAAGAGUGACAUGCUGCUCUGUGUAACACAGAGCACUUGUCAGCUUUGCUCUCUGCCUGGCUAAAAAUACUUCACGGAAGCUGUGAGGAGCAGCUGCUUGGAGGGGUCCUUUAUGGCCUUGGUGCUUUAUAAACACCAUAAAUCACAGCUUUAAAAUAACUUCAGUACUGUAAGAUCUAUGCAUCCCACAGUUCAGAAACACAGCUUUCAGGUUGCUCUUGAAUGGAAACAACUACAGGAAAGAAAAGUCGUAUAUAAUUUAUAUGUAUCAGUGUGGACUGGAGAAUUUCUCUGUAAUUGUUUCAUGUAAUGUGGAAGCAGGUGCUUUACACUGUCAAGGGAGAUGGAGGAAAAAAAAAAUAAAGCAAACCUGAAACGCCAUAAAUUAAUACAGAGCAUUAAGACUCUACAUGGCAUAGCAUAGAUUGCAUUUUUGCUGCCAUUGAGCUGUCGAAUUCUGCUAAAUGCUGCUUCUACACAUGGAGACUUUUUAUGAUUGCCAUAUCAGUGAGGGAAAAAAUAUUAAUGGAAAUCAAUGAGUGUUCUAAAGGAAUGGCAAAUUUUAGACCCACUGGCUAGCUUGUAAGAUGAUUUAAAAAAAUGUAAAAUUAAAUUUCUGUGUUACAUUUGAGCUUAAAAACUCAAAUUGUGGGCAACUUAUUUAAUAAGUAUCAAGCAGAAAACGAGUAAAAUACAUAGUGUAAUCAAGAUAGCCCAUUUAAAAAACACCCUGAAUUGUAUUUAUUUUUAAAUGAUAAAAUUGGAAAUUUGAGUAGUAGUUCCUAUAGGCCCAUGUUACUGUGAACGAAGGGGAACUGCAAUAUUCUUGCUCUUUAACAAGGCUUUUAGCGCAACCAACAAAGCUUCACAAUAAAAGGUGGUUAUGGAUGGGAUUUUCUGAGUAGCUUGUCAGUCAACAUUGGGUGGGAAAGAGGUUAGAAGUUAUUAAGCUAACAUCCACUGUGGGUAACAGUGCUCAAGUACCACUAUUUAGCACUUAGGAUGUGGACUGUAAGUAACCACACUAAUUGGAUUACAAGUAAUUGCCGUAUCAAUUGAAUGUUUAUGUGAUUGUCGACCAUGCUGUUUUGAUGUGGUUUUUGCUAAUUGUUGGUAUAAUUGCCCCACCACUUCUUAACACCUCUGAAAUGUUAAACAGAGGAUCCAAGAACAUAAUGGCAUACUAACCCAGUGUAGCAUCCUGAUAUGUUAUACUGAAAGCUGAAUAAAUCUGUAUGUAUGAUCUCAAAGUCAAAUUCAGCCAGGAGAAAAUUCUCAUUUAAAACUUGACAAGAACUUAAAAAUAAUAAUAAUAAUAAUAAUAAAAUAGUAAUGUUAACAGGGAAAUUUGGAACAGAGAAUGAGCUAAUGAUUGUUUUUAGAAGUGGCUUUUUUUGUACUUAAGUAAAUUGUUCUGCAGUGAAGUAAGAGCUAAAUAGUAAGGUGAUUGUUAUUUCUUUUAAUGAUAAGCACCAGACUACUCAAACUUCUUUUAACUCAGUUUAUUCUUGUAAAUCUGCAAACUUGAGCUUGGGCAGAAAUCCCUGAGUUUCACUUGGCAAUUAACUUGCUAGUUCCAGCAAGGCAUUAUGACCCCCAGGCUUCUUGGGAGAAGCUGCUCUCCUCGGCACGCCAGAAAAGGUAAGAAGCAAUUAUAUACGGCAGCAAUUUCAAGAGAACGUAAGGCAGGUUCUCAGCUCUCUUGAGGUUCUCAGAAAGGUGAUCUAGGAAUUGGUAAGGAUUCAGCAGAAGACAUGAAGUAGAUAGGGUGAAAUGUGGAAGCAGUGCUUUAAGCUGCAAUGCCACUAUACGGCUGCAAGUGAUAACUUUCCCAGGAGGUCGCUUUGGGAUGAAUGGUCUCCUGUUGAUUUGCAAAGUUGCUGUGUUCUUCUCUUGUAGCAAGUUUUCUGAGUCUUUAAAACAAACCUACACAAUGUAAGGUUCAGGAUACGUGCACUUUGCCUGUUGGCAAACAGGAGGUAGUCCACCCGUAGGGAAAUAUUCAACUAUAAGGUGCAACAGCACCGGAGAAACACUUUCUUAAUACAGAACAUCUGCAGGGCCUUGCUAAGACUAAAAGAGUUAAUUGCUGACCUGAUCUGCUCUGUAAUUAGAGAAAGUGUUUACAAAUCCCGACCAUGAGGGUAAAGAAGAUAUCCUGGGCAUCCUUCCAACCAAUCUGACAGAGUUCCGCUUUCUGAAACUGCUAAUUGGUAACAUUUUGGGUUGUCACUUUAAGAAAUCCAGCACAAUGUUAACAGAGCAUAUUUAGUCACUUGGACAUAAAAACUCUAUUUGGAAAUGCAAAUGCAUGCUGGAAAUAUUUUCCAUAAGUAAAAUGAUAAACAACAGACAAAAUUGAAAGAAAGCUGAAAGUUAUUUUAAGUAUCAGAUCUUUGAUUGUCCUCAUCAUGGGUACACUAAAUCCCCUUCCUAACGUGUCUGUUCCAUAUAGGGACAGCAGGAGCAGAGUAGUUAUAUUUAAUCAGUGAAACAAAAUCAAAGGCGAUGGCAUACAAAAGCAUGUACUCUGUCUUGAACUGCUGACUUUUUUCAAGUUUUAAUCAUGCCUAUAGACUUCUAAAAGCAUACAUGUCUUAGCGUUUCUUUCCAUUUCAUAAUAAAAGUUAUAUCAAUUGCAUAUUUUAAAAAUAUUCCUCAUAUCUUCUGCUGUCAAUACAAUUUCAGUUGUACUACAUAGUGCCCGCUUAAUUUUAUUUAUAUGUAUAUAUAGAAAGCAUCAGAAAUCUUCACAUAUGUGUAUAUAUUUAACAAGUUUAUACUACUUUAGUUUCGCAGUCGUCUAAACAUUAAAAGGAAUCAUUUAACUUCUGCUGAACAUGAAGUCUUGGCAUUACUAUCUAUUGCUGAAAUAAGGUAUGAAACGAGCUCUUUUCUCAGUGGAGAUAACUAGCUGUACAGAGUAUCAACCAUACAGAUUUUGUUUAUAUGAGAUGUAACCACUCUGGUUGAUUUAUCAUAUGUUUGUCUUCAAGGAUUCUUGGAGUUCUGCCAAACUUCAUUUCAGAUUUGCUUGUCAGAUUUCCAGUUUCUUGUAUUUAAUAAGGGCAUCUCUAACAUGGUUCUUAGAAACUGGUUUCUAUGCAGGACUUUUACCCGCUGCUAGUUUUUAAAGCAUCUUUGUGUGUUUCUGCUUUACUUUACUAUUUCUUAAUCAAGAAGAAAUUACUAUCCCUUUCUCCUUCAGGAUGUCCGAGGAAUUUUAUUUUUAUGAUCUGUGGAAUUGGAAAGUAUUUUCAACAUAUUCUGAGCAUGUUACACUUCAGAAUUUCUCUCCCCAUUCUUCUGUGAAGGGGAGCAGAAAGCAGUGUUGAUGUGGAUGACUGAUGUAUAUGGAUUGUCACUACUGAAUAGGGCUAAUCACUAGAGAACCACUGGGAAAGCAUUCUCUUCAGGGGCAUGGAAGAACUCUCAAACAGGAAGAUAAGGAACUACUAUGAUCUUUCUCUCAGGACAUGGGAAAAGGCAGAUGUAUGCUUCCAUACCUAGAAAUCUGUUUGACAAAUCUGUUUGACCUUUCUUUCUCACACCUGAGCAGAAAGAUAAGAAUCAAUGAUGUGAUGAUCAGGGGAGCAUUGGAACAAGGCACGUCAAGAGUGUCCCUUCUUACAGCUCUAGCAAGCAAUAGGUCGGUAAUGGUGAGUGGCCACUUAACUGAAAUUAGUGGUGGUGUUGAAUGCUGUCCUUAAGGGAUGAUUAAGAGCUGUGUCCUUUAUCUCCCUGCCCUGUUCUUUAUUUCAUAUAGGAGAAAAAAAUUAAACUUCUGAUAUUAAGCUUUAAA